UGUUGUGCUGCUGUGGACUUCGCACUUUUAGAGAGCUUGCGUACAAAUACAGAGAGCAUAUUCCUGCACCAGAGCUGCCAGAUUCUGUGACCACCAGACCAAACUGUUACUGGGGACGCAACUGUCGGACUCAAGUGAAAGCACACCACGCUUUGAAAUUCAAUCACAUAUGUGAGCAGACGCGGUUUAAGAACUAAACGCUGGAGGAGCGUCGCUUGAUUUGACAGCAGUCGUUUCUCAGCAGCUUCAUUAGUAGCCUGCUUCUGGGUAACUGAUCUGCUGCAGGCACGUGUGUGACCUCUUUACUCCUCUAGAAUGCAACCUUACAUAUGCAAAGUCAAUCAGAUGAUGAUAAACCAAUCAUCCUUGAGGUAUGGCGUCAGCACGUGUGAAAACAUCUGAUCUGGAUCUGCACUGUGUUGAAACAGACACUAGUUUUCCAUGAUGUACUGACCGUCACUCUUUCAGUAUGCACACUUCAUUCCACUAUGCUAAUGACAUGCUUUCAUGCUGCAUUUCUGCUUAUAAUUGUGAAA